AAUCUUGGACAAUGGGCGAAAGCCUGAUCCAGCGACGCCGCGUGGGUGAAGAAGGCCUGCGGGUUGUAAAGCCCUUUCGGUGGGGAUGAAAAGCUCCGUUCUAACACAGCGGGGUCUUGACCUAACCCAAGAAAGAAGCACCGGCUAACUCUGUGCCAGCAGCCGCGGUAAUACAGAGGGUGCGAGCGUUAAUCGGAAUUACUGGGCGUAAAGCGCGCGUAGGUGGCUAUGCAAGUCGGAUGUGAAAUCCCCGGGCUCAACCUGGGAACUGCAUUCGAGACUGCAUUGCUUGAGUAUGGGAGAGGGAAGUGGAAUUUCCGGUGUAGCGGUGAAAUGCGUAGAUAUCGGAAGGAACAUCAGUGGCGAAAGCGACUUCCUGGACCAAUACUGACACUCAAGUGCGAAAGCGUGGGGAGCAAAC
rnacentral:rRNA from 1 species